rnacentral:rRNA from 1 species
AGCGGCGGACGGGUGAGUAACGCGUGGGUAACCUGCCCUGUACACACGGAUAACAUACCGAAAGGUAUGCUAAUACGGGAUAACAUAAGAAAGUCGCAUGGCUUUCUUAUCAAAGCUUUUGCGGUACAGGAUGGACCCGCGUCUGAUUAGCUAGUUGGUAAGGUAACGGCUUACCAAGGCGACGAUCAGUAGCCGACCUGAGAGGGUGAUCGGCCACAUUGGAACUGAGACACGGUCCAAACUCCUACGGGAGGCAGCAGUGGGGAAUAUUGCACAAUGGGCGAAAGCCUGAUGCAGCAACGCCGCGUGAGCGAUGAAGGCCUUCGGGUCGUAAAGCUCUGUCCUCAAGGAAGAUAAUGACGGUACUUGAGGAGGAAGCCCCGGCUAACUACGUGCCAGCAGCCGCGGUAAUACGUAGGGGGCUAGCGUUAUCCGGAAUUACUGGGCGUAAAGGGUGCGUAGGCGGUCUUUCAAGUCAGAAGUGAAAGGCUACGGCUCAACCGUAGUAAGCUUUUGAAACUGUAAGACUUGAGUGCAGGAGAGGAGAGUGGAAUUCCUAGUGUAGCGGUGAAAUGCGUAGAUAUUAGGAGGAACACCAGUUGCGAAGGCGGCUCUCUGGACUGUAACUGACGCUGAGGCACGAAAGCGUGGGGAGCAAACA